rnacentral:rRNA from 1 species
GACGAACGCUGGCGGCGUGCCUAAUACAUGCAAGUCGAGCGGGGUUUCAAAGGUGCUUGCACCUUUGAAACCUAGCGGCGGACGGGUGAGUAACACGUAGGUAACCUGCCUGUAAGACUGGGAUAACAUUCGGAAACGAAUGCUAAUACCGGAUACGCAAUUUGGUCGCAUGACCAGAUUGGGAAAGACGGAGCAAUCUGUCACUUACAGAUGGACCUGCGGCGCAUUAGCUAGUUGGUGAGGUAACGGCUCACCAAGGCGACGAUGCGUAGCCGACCUGAGAGGGUGAUCGGCCACACUGGGACUGAGACACGGCCCAGACUCCUACGGGAGGCAGCAGUAGGGAAUCUUCCGCAAUGGACGAAAGUCUGACGGAGCAACGCCGCGUGAGUGAUGAAGGUUUUCGGAUCGUAAAGCUCUGUUGCCAGGGAAGAACGCUUGGGAGAGUAACUGCUCUCAAGGUGACGGUACCUGAGAAGAAAGCCCCGGCUAACU